rnacentral:rRNA from 1 species
GAUGAACGCUGGCGGCGUGCCUAAUACAUGCAAGUCGAACGCAUAGCGAAAGGUGCUUGCACCUUUCAAGUGAGUGGCGAACGGGUGAGUAACACGUGGACACCCUUCCUCAAGGCUGGGGAUAACAUUUGGAAACAGAUGCUAAUACCGAAUAAAACUUAGUGUCGCAUGACACAAAGUUAAAAGGCGCUUCGGCGUCACCUAGAGAUGGAUCCGCGGUGCAUUAGUUAGUUGGUGGGGUAAAGGCCUACCAAGACAAUGAUGCAUAGCCGCGUUGAGAGACUGAUCGGCCACAUUGGGACUGAGACACGGCCCAAACUCCUACGGGAGGCUGCAGUAGGGAAUCUUCCACAAUGGGCGAAAGCCUGAUGGAGCAACGCCGCGUGUGUGAUGAAGGCUUUCGGGUCGUAAAGCACUGUUGUAUGGGAAGAACAGCUAGAAUAGGAAAUGAUUUUAGUUUGACGGUACCAUACCAGAAAGGGACGGCUAAAUACGUG